GCCGGGAUAAUACUAGUUGGAUAAUCAACUGCAUCCCGAAGGUGUAAUGGUAGCAUUGAAGCCUGUGGAGCUUUAGGCCGGGGUUCGAAUCCCUGUCCCGGCACCA
rnacentral:tRNA from 1 species